AAGGCGGCGUAGGGUUCAGCGGCAGGAGGGCUAGGGGGAGGGGAGGGGAAGGGAAGGAGACGAGACCUGUGGGGUAGAGGCAGCUCGGCCCGCGGGGUAGGUGGAGAUGCACGCCGCCGCCGCAUCGUUCCAGUCACUCUUUACCGCGGCGGGCCCAGCGCGGCCACCCGCAUGCACGCCUAGUACCGGCCGUGGUAGGAGCCGCCGCCGGAGCCGAAGAUGCAGUACGUGGCGUAGCUCUGGAGGAUGUUCCACUCCUACCUCCUCUCCGACGCCUCCAUGCUCCGCGUGAACGAGCGGUUCCUCUUCCUCCGCGUCGUCGAGGUCCUGCUCCCCGCGGCGCUCCUGGUCCGCGUCCAGAACGGCCUGAGCACUAAAGGAGAGUAGGACAACAAGGCCGAGCGGAAGGGCUCGACAAUCUUGUAUUAGAUCGCCGAGUUUCGAAGAACUCUCCACACGGAGAACGCAGAUACCAGCAAAACACUUGUAAAAAUAUAAUCGAAUGCAUCCCUCAUGAAGUUUUGACACUACAGACACUACUGUCGUCUCUGAAGUUUUGACUCUAACAAAACGAAUAAUAACUGUCCAUGAACAUUUGUUUUUUUUAACUUAGGUAUGUAACAUGUCUAA
rnacentral:rRNA from 1 species